UUUGCCAAUAUUGCAGCCAUGUUAUAUUUGUAAAUCUCUCCUUUAUUUUUGUUUGCGAUUUUAAUACUAUUUCUCCUCCCUGUUUCUUUAUUAUGUCUUUGUAGGUGGGCCAGUUAUCCCACCCAUUUUCUCUACGUUGGGUGGAUUCUAGUGAAGAUACCCAUAGUGGUGUUUUGUUAUAUAUCCUUUCUUUAUAUUUUUUCCAGAUUUUGGUGAUAGACGGUCUUAUGAAAUGAUUCCCGAUAUUUUUUUCAUUUUUUGCUUUUCCGUACCAUACUUAUUUUUGGGGGGAAACUGUAUGUUAAAAAGAUUAAAUUAUAAUCUAUAUAAAUAAAAAUGUAAUGUUCUUUUGUGGGAUCAACAGAACUCAAAAACCACUGGACGAAUUGACACCAAAUUUGGUCACUAUACCCCUAACAGACCAACAAGUGACCAUCACUCAUAAGCCCUCCCCAAAAAACAGUGGAAAGGACUUAAAAACCCAAAUAUGCUAAAUGAUUAAAAGCUAAAUGACAAUACAGAAAAAAGGAAGGAAGGUGAGUGAGAGAGAGAGAAAGGAAGGAAGGAGAGAAAGAGGGAGGGAAAGAAAGAAGUAAAGGGAGAAGGAAGCAUGGAGGCAUAGAGCAAAGGAAGGAAGGAAAGAGGUAGAGAAGGAAAGAAAAAAGGGAGGGAAGGAAAGAGGGAAAGAAGGAAAGAGAAGGAUGGAAAGAGGUAGAGCAAGAAGAAAGAGAGGGAAAGAAGGAAAGAAAGAAGGAAAGAGUGAAGGAGGGAUAGAAGCAAAAAGAGAAGGAAGGAAGGAAGGAAAGAGGUAGAGAAGAAAGGAAGGAAGGCGAGAAGGAAAGAAAAAAGGGAGGGAAGGAAAGAGGGAAAGAAGGAAAAAGAAGGAAGGAAAGAGGUAGAGCAGGAAGAAAGAGAGAGGGAAGGAAGAAAAGAAAGAAGGAAAAAGAGAAGGAAGGAUGGAAGCAAAAAGCGAAGGAAGGAAGGAAAGAGGUAGAGAAGAAA